rnacentral:rRNA from 1 species
CCUACGGGAGGCAGCAGUGAGGAAUAUUGGUCAAUGGACGGAAGUCUGAACCAGCCAUGCCGCGUGCAGGAAGACGGUUCUAUGAGUUGUAAACUGCUUUUGUACAAGGGUAAACCUGAAUACGUGUAUUCAGCUGAAAGUACUGUACGAAUAAGGAUCGGCUAACUCCGUGCCAGCAGCCGCGGUAAUACGGAGGAUCCAAGCGUUAUCCGGAUUUAUUGGGUUUAAAGGGUGCGUAGGCGGAUUGAUAAGUUAGAGGUUAAAUGUCCGAGCUUAACUCGGGAACUGCCUCUAAUACUGUUGAUCUAGAGAGUAGAUGCGGUAGGCGGAAUGUAUGGUGUAGCGGUGAAAUGCUUAGAGAUCAUACAGAACACCGAUUGCGAAGGCAGCUUACCAAUCUAUAUCUGACGUUGAGGCACGAAAGCGUGGGGAGCAAACAGGAUUAGAUACCCCGGUAGUC